GACGAACGCUGGCGGCGUGCUUAACACAUGCAAGUCGAACGAAGAGCGAUGGAAGCUUGCUUCUAUCAAUCUUAGUGGCGAACGGGUGAGUAACGCGUAAUCAACCUGCCCUUCAGAGGGGGACAACAGUUGGAAACGACUGCUAAUACCGCAUACGAUCUAAUCUCGGCAUCGAGGAUAGAUGAAAGGUGGCCUCUACAUGUAAGCUAUCACUGAAGGAUGGGAUUGCGUCUGAUUAGCUAGUUGGAGGGGUAACGGCCCACCAAGGCGAUGAUCAGUAGCCGGUCUGAGAGGAUGAACGGCCACAUUGGGACUGAGACACGGCCCAGACUCCUACGGGAGGCAGCAGUGGGGAAUCUUCCGCAAUGGACGAAAGUCUGACGGAGCAACGCCGCGUGAGUGAUGACGGCCUUCGGGUUGUAAAGCUCUGUUAAUCGGGAAGAAAGGCCUUCUUGCGAAUAGGGAGAAGGAUUGACGGUACCGGAAUAGAAAGCCACGGCUAACUACGUG
rnacentral:rRNA from 1 species